CGUGCACUCACGACAACCCCAACUAAUCUUAUCCAAUCACAUACGUCCAAACAAUCCAACGGUCAUAAACAGUCUAUAUUAAGUAACACGCAUACUCCAGGAAAAGAAAAAAAAAACGCGCAUUGUUUACUAUCAUACGCUAAAGAUCACGAAGCAAAAGAAGAAAAAAAAAGGCGCAAGGUAUUAUCGUGCGCCGUAUUGUCCAAACCUGCGUGUUGUGUGUAUUGUGUGUGUGCUUCUCUUUCUCUCUCUGCCUCCUUCGUUUUUCUCUGUAUUUUUCUUCUUCACAAAACGUUUCAAUCAAGAACAAUAACUAA